rnacentral:rRNA from 1 species
AGUAACGCGUGGGUAACCUGCCUCACACAGGGGAGUAACAGUUAGAAAUGACUGCUAAUACCGCAUAACCCGAUAGGAUCGCAUGAUCCAGACGGAAAGAUUUAUCGGUGUGAGAUGGACCCGCGUCUGAUUAGCUAGUUGGUGAGGUAACGGCCCACCAAGGCGACGAUCAGUAGCCGGCCUGAGAGGGUGAACGGCCACAUUGGGACUGAGACACGGCCCAA